UAAAUUUAAAAAGUGGUAUCAAACUUAUAGAAUUAAAACUUUCCUUUAUAUAAUAUUUUGAGAAAAAUUAAAAUUUUAUUUGUUCAUCACUUUAUUUUAAAAAAUUUCUUUAAAUUUUGUUCAUCACUUUAUUUUUCACAAAUAAAAUAUUAUUUGAGUAGAAUCUAACUAAAGUUACUCUAUUUUGAAGAAAAAAUAGAGUGAACCAACUUUCACACUUGCAAUUUUCAAACCUCAUUCCAACAUAAAAAUAAAAGAAAUAUCAAAAUUCAAAACUAAAAAAGAAAACAUAUCUUGGACAAAAAAAAUGAAGACAACAUUGAGAAACUCACUUUAGUCCUCGCCACCACACGCACGCUUGCUUCUACAGUUGUAGGUUUUAUAGCCUUCAUAUAACCUACCAGAAUCGAUUUGUAAAGAAGAGAUCUGAGAUAUAUC
rnacentral:lncRNA from 1 species